AAUGACUCUUGGCAAUGGAUAUCUAGGCUCUCGUGUCGAUGAAGAACGUACCGAAAUGCGACAGUUGGUGUGAAUUGCAGAAUCCCGUGAAUCAUCUAGUCUUUGAAUGCAAGUUGCGCUCGAGGCCAUUAGGUUGAGAGCACGUCUGUUUGGGCGUCAUGC
rnacentral:rRNA from 1 species